rnacentral:rRNA from 1 species
AGCAGCCGCGGUAAUUCCAGCUCCAAUAGCGUAUAUUAAAGUUGCUGCAGUUAAAAAGCUCGUAGUUGAAUUUCGGGAUCAAUAUGUUGGUCGUGCCUCGGUACGUACUAGCUUAUUGGUUUCUCCCUUCUGACGAACCAUGAUGUCAUUUAUUUGGUGUUAUGGGAAAUCAGGACUGUUACUUUGAAAAAAUUAGAGUGUUUAAAGCAGGCUCACGCUUGAAUACAUUAGCAUGGAAUAAUGAAAUAGGACGUUUGAUUCUAUUUUGUUGGUUUUCUAGGAUCGACGUAAUGAUUAAUAGGGAUAGUUGGGGGGCAUUAGUAUUCAAUUGUCAGAGGUGAAAUUCUUGGAUUUAUUGAAGACUAACUACUGCGAAAGCAUUUGCCAAGGAUGUUUUCAUUAAUCAAGACGAAAGUUAGGGAUCGAAGACGAUCAGAUACCGUCG